UACGGAGGGUGCAAGCGUUAUCCGGAUUCACUGGGUUUAAAGGGUGCGUAGGCGGACUUAUAAGUCAGUGGUGAAAGCCCGGAGCUUAACUUCGGAACUGCCAUUGAUACUGUAAGUCUUGAGUACACUUGAGGUGGGCGGAAUACAUCAUGUAGUGGUGAAAUGCGUAGAUAUCGAGAGGAACACCUGCGGCGAAGGCGGGUUGCUGGGCUGACACUGACGCUGAUGUGCGAAAGCUAGGGGAGCGAACGGG
rnacentral:rRNA from 1 species